rnacentral:rRNA from 1 species
CCUACGGGAGACAGCAGUGGGGAAUGUUGCACCAUGGGGGAAACCCUGAUGCAGCGACGCCGCGUGCGUGAAGAAGUAUCUCGGUACGUAAAGCUCUAUCAGCAGGGAAGAAAAUGACGGUACCUGACUAAGAAGCCCCGGCUAACUACGUGCCAGCAGCCGCGGUAAUACGUAGGGGGCAAGCGUUAUCCGGAUUUACUGGGUGUAAAGGGAGCGUAGACGGCAGCACAAGUCUGGAGUGAAAUCCCGGGGCUUAACCCCGGAACUGCUUUGGAAACUGGGCGGCUAGAGUGCCGGAGGGGUAAGCGGAAUUCCUAGUGUAGCGGUGAAAUGCGUAGAUAUUAGGAGGAACACCGGUGGCGAAGGCGGCUUACUGGACUGUAACUGACGUUGAGGCUCGAAAGCGUGGGGAGCAAACAGGAUUAGAUACCCCAGUAGUC